GUCGAGCGGACAGAAGGGAGCUUGCUCCCGGAUGUUAGCGGCGGACGGGUGAGUAACACGUGGGUAACCUGCCUGUAAGACUGGGAUAACUCCGGGAAACCGGAGCUAAUACCGGAUAGUUCCUUGAACCGCAUGGUUCAAGGAUGAAAGACGGUUUCGGCUGUCACUUACAGAUGGACCCGCGGCGCAUUAGCUAGUUGGUGAGGUAACGGCUCACCAAGGCGACGAUGCGUAGCCGACCUGAGAGGGUGAUCGGCCACACUGGGACUGAGACACGGCCCAGACUCCUACGGGAGGCAGCAGUAGGGAAUCUUCCGCAAUGGACGAAAGUCUGACGGAGCAACGCCGCGUGAGUGAUGAAGGUUUUCGGAUCGUAAAGCUCUGUUGUUAGGGAAGAACAAGUGCAAGAGUAACUGCUUGCACCUUGACGGUACCUAACCAGAAAGCCACGGCUAACUACGUGCCAGCAGCCGCGGUAAUACGUAGGUGGCAAGCGUUGUCCGGAAUUAUUGGGCGUAAAGGGCUCGCAGGCGGUUUCUUAAGUCUGAUGUGAAAGCCCCCGGCUCAACCGGGGAGGGUCAUUGGAAACUGGGAAACUUGAGUGCAGAAGAGGA
rnacentral:rRNA from 1 species